UACGUAGGGUGCAAGCGUUGUCCGGAAUUAUUGGGCGUAAAGAGCUCGUAGGCGGUUCGUCGCGUCGGCUGUGAAAUCCCGAGGCUCAACCUCGGGUCUGCAGUCGAUACGGGCGGACUGGAGUACUGCAGGGGAGACUGGAAUUCCUGGUGUAGCGGUGAAAUGCGCAGAUAUCGGGAGGAACACCGGUGGCGAAGGCGGUUCUCUGGGCCUGACCUGACGCUGAGGAGCGAAAGCGUGGGGAGCGAACAGG
rnacentral:rRNA from 1 species